UUUAACACCAAUGCAACGGCAUAACCAUGAUAACAAAUUCAUACUCAUUACAAUAUUUGACCAUGCAUACCCAUUAAUUAUCCUCAAAACAGAAAUCUAAAUAGAUUUAGCCUUCAAAACACUUUGAGUUAUCAUCCUGUUGCAUUACUGUUUUUGCUUUUUCCCAAUGGCUAAAAAAGCAAAAAGGCACCGGUAGUGGUACUUUCACAUUAGUGGAAUGGGGUUCAACUCCCUACAGUGCCCUUGCUAAAAGCCAAAAUACAUAAUAGUUAUCACUCUACACAUUUCACAACAAACCUAAAUGUCCCUGACCUCCCACCUUCAAGCAUAACCUCAUUUGGCCAUCCAUGAAAAAGCUACUUAACCUCCCACUUUUUUAUAGCAAUACAUACUUCCUACUGGCUAUGCACUAGUAGAGACUGAAAUAUUUGCCCAUUCUUCCUUGCAAAAUAGCUCAAGCUUAGUCUGAUCGGAUGGAGAGUGUCUGUGAACAGCAAUUUUCAAGUCUUGCCAGAGAUUCUCAAUUGGAUUUAGGUCUGGACUUUGACUGGGCCAUUCUAACACAUGAAUAUGCUUUGAUCUAAGCCAUUCCAUCCCAUUCCAAAGACCACUCUAUGCGCUCGCGGUUUCUGUGUACACGCUCACUGUCUCCCUCAGUGCCUUCUGCUCGCUCGACUUUGCUGAGUUUUGGCACUCCGGAGGCGGGCAUUGAAUAGACGGCCCCGCAACCCCCCCUCCUUUCUGAUUGGUCACUUUAAACACCGACUGUCUAGAGUGCCUUAAAAAAGAGAGAGCGUGGAGCCCCUCAAAUGUUCCCAGAAGUUAGCACAAGCUAACUGCGGCUCAAUGUAAUUCCUAUGGAGCAGAUGGUCGGAGCAACACUUAUUCACGAUGUGGAAGCAGCAGUCGGACAUGGCAGCAAGUGAGGGCCAAAUACAUAAACAUCAUUCAAAGUGUACAGCCCUCAGGAGUACUGAGUGGACCACAGUGAGACUGGAAACAUAG
rnacentral:lncRNA from 1 species